AUUGAACGCUGGCGGCAGGCCUAACACAUGCAAGUCGAGCGGAUGAAGGGAGCUUGCUCCUGGAUUCAGCGGCGGACGGGUGAGAAAUGCCUAGGAAUCUGCCUGGUAGUGGGGGAUAACGUCCGGAAACGGGCGCUAAUACCGCAUACGUCCUGAGGGAGAAAGUGGGGGAUCUUCGGACCUCACGCUAUCAGAUGAGCCUAGGUCGGAUUAGCUAGUUGGUGGGGUAAAGGCCUACCAAGGCGACGAUCCGUAACUGGUCUGAGAGGAUGAUCAGUCACACUGGAACUGAGACACGGUCCAGACUCCUACGGGAGGCAGCAGUGGGGAAUAUUGGACAAUGGGCGAAAGCCUGAUCCAGCCAUGCCGCGUGUGUGAAGAAGGUCUUCGGAUUGUAAAGCACUUUAAGUUGGGAGGAAGGGCAGUAAGUUAAUACCGUGCUGUUUUGACGUUACCAACAGAAUAAGCACCGGCUAACUUCGUG
rnacentral:rRNA from 1 species